rnacentral:misc_RNA from 1 species
AAAUUUUCACUCAUUGUAUCUUUGAAUAAUCUCUAUCUGAACUAAUUCACACAGGUAGCACUAACCACUAAAUACUCUAAGUUACAAUAUUUGUCAUCUUUGUCCACAUGUACUUCAUAUGUUGUCUUUAUAUUGUUCUGGUAGCACAUAAGUUAUUUGCUUAUAAUGGCUGAAUUCUGAUUUAUUAGGUUAUAUUUCUGAUUUUGAUUUCGCAUUA